rnacentral:sRNA from 1 species
GUUGCUCCCGGAAUGCCCCUUCAGGUUAGCGAUUACAGCUGGCAGCAGACGAAGACUGCGGUCUUUCUGUCUCUGCCCCUCAAAGGCGUGUGCGUCAGAGACACGGACGUGUUCUGCACGGAAAACUAUCUGAAGGUCAACUUUCCUCCAUUUUUAUUUGAGGCAUUUCUUUAUGCUCCCAUAGACGAUGAGAGCAGCAAAGCAAAGAUUGGGAAUGACACCAUUGUCUUCACCUUGUAUAAAAAAGAAGCGGCCAUGUGGGAGACCCUUUCUGUGACGGGUGUUGACAAAGAGACGAUGCAAAGAAUUAGAGAAAAAUCUAUUUUACAAGCACAAGAGAGAGCAAAAGAAGCUACAGAAGCAAAAGCUGCAGCAAAGCGGGAAGAUCAAAAAUAUGCACUAAGUGUCAUGAUGAAGAUUGAAGAAGAAGAGAGGAAAAAAAUAGAAGAUAUGAAAGAAAAUGAACGGAUAAAAGCCACUAAAGAAUUGGAAGCCUGGAAAGAAUAUCAAAGAAAAGCUGAGGAGCACAAAAAAAUUCAGAGAGAAGAGAAAUUAUGUCAAAAAGAAAAGCAAAUUAAAGAAGAAAGAAAAAAAUUAAAAUACAAGAGUCUUACUAGAAAUUCGGCAUCUAGAAACCUUGCUCCAAAAGGAAGAAAUUCAGAAAAUAUAUUUACUGAGAAGUUAAAGGAAGACAGUAUUCCUGCUCCUCGCUCUGUUGGCAGUAUUAAAAUCAACUUUACCCCUCGAGUAUUCCCAACAGCUCUUCGUGAAUCACAAGUAGCAGAAGAGGAGGAGUGGCUACACAAACAAGCUGAGGCACGAAGAGCAAUGAAUACUGACAUAGCUGAACUUUGCGAUUUAAAAGAAGAAGAAAAGAACCCAGAAUGGUUGAAGGAUAAAGGAAAACCUGAAAGAUGUCUGAAAAUUCCAGUGACAGUGAUUCAUCUUGUGGUUGGACUGUCAUCAGUCAUGAGGGGUCAGAUAUAGAAAUGUUGAAUUCUGUGACUCCCACUAACAGCUGUGAGCCCGCUCCAGAAUGUUCAUCUUUAGAGCAAGAGGAACUUCAAGCAUUGCAGUUAGAGCAAGGAGAAAGCAGCCAAAAUGGCACAGUGCUUAUGGAAGAAACUGCUUAUCCAGCUUUGGAGGAAACCAGCUCAACAAUUGAGGCAGAGGAAGAAAAGAUACCCGAAGACAAUAUCUAUAUUGGAACUGCCAGUGAUGAUUCUGAUAUUGUUACCCUUGAGCCACCUAAGUUAGAAGAAAUUGGAAAUCAAGAAGUUGUCAUUGUUGAAG